rnacentral:rRNA from 1 species
CCUGGCGGCACUAGCGCGGUGGUCCCACCUGACCCCAUGCCGAACUCAGAAGUGAAACGCCGUAGCGCCGAUGGUAGUGUGGGGUCUCCCCAUGCGAGAGUAGGGAACUGCC